ACAUAUUUGAGAGAAGGGUUUUAGUGUCACAAUGAAUGAAGUAUAAUUAAAUCCUACAACCUAAAUAUGCGCCAAUUACUCCACCAAUAAACACCAAAAGCAGAAAGUGCUAACGAACUUUACUUAAGGUGGCUUUUGAAUACAACAAGAGGGAGAAAGCCUGGGAAAAUUUGGUCACUGGGACUGUGCUUAGUACUUAAACAAAAGUUCCAACCAAAUUAUUUUUCUUUCAAAUGGUAAACACCAAGGAAGAGAGCAGAAGGAUAACUAUCCUUAACUGUGCUUCUAGUCACAUGUUGUGUAUCUUCCUCUUAUGCUCAUUAUUUUUCACUUUUAGUUUUAAGCAUUGUUCAGCUAGAGAUACUAUAAUCAUUAACAACUUCUUGCAAGAUGGAGGAGGGGAUACGCUUAUUUCAGAAGGAGAAAAGUUUGAACUGGGAUUUUUCACUCCUAAUGGAAGCUCUAGUGGCAGAAGAUACGUGGGAAUAUGGUACUACAACUUGACCCCACAAACACUUGUUUGGGUUGCUAACCGAGACAACCCACUUCCAGAUUCUUCGGGUGCUUUUGGCAUUGCAGAAGAUGGGAAUCUCAAGGUUUUGGACAAAGGUGGAAAGUCCCACUGGACCACUAACCUUGAAGGAUCAUCUUCACAGCACAGGAAAGUGAAGUUAAUGGACAGUGGAAACCUUGUUGUAAGUGAUGAAGACCAAGGAAACCAUGCAGAGAAGAUUCUAUGGCAAAGUUUUGCUAAUCCAACAGAUACAUUUCUUCCUGGCAUGAAAAUGCAUGACAAUUUAGCAUUAACUUCAUGGAGUAGUUAUGAAGACCCUUCACCGGGGAACUUCUCUUUUGAGAAAGAUCAAGGAGAGAAUCAGUAUAUCAUAUGGAAGAGAUCCAUCCGGUAUUGGAAAAGCAGUGUGUCAGGUAAAUUUGUUGGAACUGGUGAGAUGUCUACAGCCAUAUCUUACUUGUUGUCAAAUUUCACCUUGAGGGUAUCCCCAAACAACACUGUUCCCUUUCUCACUUCUUCAUUGUAUAGUGACACAAGGUUGGUAAUGAAUUAUUGGGGUCAGCUUCAGUAUCUUAAGAUGGAUUCAGAGAAAAAGUGGUUGUUGGUUUGGGUAGAGCCAAGAGAUAGAUGCAGUGUGUUCAAUGCUUGUGGAAACUUUGGAACCUGUAACAGCAAGUAUGAUUCAAUGUGCAAGUGUUUACCUGGGUUCAAGCCUAAUUCUAUUGAAAGUUGGAAUGCUGGAGACUUUUCAGGUGGAUGCAGCAGAAGAACAAACGUGUGUAGUGGGGAUGCUAAUAGUGACACCUUUUUGAGCUUGAAAAUGAUGAAAGUAGGGAACCCGGAUGCUCAAUUCAAUGCUAAGAAUGAAGAUGAAUGUAAGUUAGAGUGCCUAAAUAAUUGCCAGUGCUAUGCAUAUUCAUAUCAAGAGAAUGAAGAGGCAAGGCAAGGUGAUAGUAAGGAUGCCGUUUGUUGGAUUUGGUCUGAGGACUUGAACAAUCUAGAAGAAGAGUAUGAAGAUGGGUGUGACCUGCAUGUUCGUGUGGCAUUUUCUGAUAUAGAAUCCACUGGAAGAAGUUGUGGGACUUGUGGUACAAACUUUAUUCCGUAUCCCCUUGGCACAGGACCAAAUUGUGGUGAUCCCAAGUACUUUAGUUUUCACUGCAACAUUUCCACUGGGGAGCUUGACUUUGAGACUCCUGCGGGAAUCUAUCCAGUGAUAAGCAUUAACUCAGAAACACAAAAGUUCUUGAUCCACAGAGAAAAUGCACUUUACUGUGAUCGAAGUGAUAAGUUUCUAGUUCUCAACCAGUCAUUUCCAUUUCAUUUUACUGGCAAUUGCUACGCUGAUCCAAGCACCUUUAGCUCUAAUGCUCCCCUAAAACAUGGAAUAGAAAUAGAAUUAAGUUGGCAGCUGCCAUUAGAGCCAAUUUGUUCUUCAUUGUUGGAUUGCGAGGACUGGCCAAAUUCAACUUGCAACACUACCAGUGAUGGGAAAAAGAGAUGCCUUUGCAACAAAAAUUUUCUUUGGGAUGGCUUGAAAUUAAAUUGUACUCUAGAAAGCAAUCAUAGCUAUCAAUCAGAAAGGCAUCUGUCCUUACCUAAGAUUACUGUAAUCACUUUUACAACUGUGAUUAGCUUAAUUCUUCUCUCAACAACUGCAUGUAUUUACUUGCGGAAAAGGAGACAGGCCAAGACACAAGAAAGCAAGGGAUAUGUUCAGAAAAACUCAGGGAUUAACUUUUAUGACAGUGAGAGAUAUGUAAGAGACCUGAUUGAAUCCGGUAGGUUAAAAGAAGAUGAUGCACAAGCCAUAGAUAUUCCACAUUUUCAUUUGGAGAGCAUACUUGAUGCUACUAAUAACUUUGCAAAUUCAAAUAAGCUUGGACAAGGGGGAUUUGGUCCUGUUUAUAAGGUAAUUAAGAAUUUCUUAAUACUCACGAUUUUCAUUUUGAGCUUUGCUAGUGAUUGAUAUAAAUGGAUAAUAAUUUUGAAUACUGUCAGGGAAAGUUUCCUGGAGGACAAGAAAUAGCAGUGAAGAGACUUUCAAGUUGUUCUGGACAAGGCUUAGAAGAGUUUAAAAAUGAAGUUGUGUUGAUUGCCAAGCUUCAACAUAGAAACCUAGUUAGACUUCUAGGUUACUGUGUGGAAGGAGAUGAAAAGAUGCUACUAUAUGAGUACAUGCCAAAUCGAAGCUUGGAUGCUUUCAUUUUUGUAGAGACUAAUGUAAUGUGCCAUGCCCCUAAUGGACUUCAAGAUAGGAAGCUGUGUGUUGUACUAGACUGGGAUGUGCGGUUCAAGAUUAUUUUGGGAAUUGCUCGAGGGCUUCUUUAUCUACAUGAAGAUUCUAGGUUGAGGAUUAUUCAUAGGGACUUGAAAACAAGCAACAUUCUACUAGAUGAAGAAAAGAAUCCUAAAAUCUCAGACUUUGGCUUAGCAAGGAUAUUUGGAGGAAAAGAAACAGUAGCAAACACAGACAGAGUGGUUGGAACUUAUGGAUAUAUGUCACCAGAAUAUGCACUUGAUGGACAUUUUUCAGUGAAGUCUGAUGUCUUUAGUUUUGGUGUGGUGGUACUUGAGAUUAUUAGUGGAAAAAGGAACACUGGAUUUUAUCAAGUAGAACAUGAAUUGAGUCUUCUAGGAUAUGCCUGGCAUUUGUGGAAAGAAGGGAGGGCAAUGGAGUUCAUGGACCAGACAGUGUGUCAAACAUGCAAUGCAGAUGAAUGCUUGAAAUGUGUGAAUGUGGGGCUCUUGUGCCUACAAGAAGACCCAAAUGAACGACCCACCAUGUCAAAUGUGGUUUUUAUGCUUGGUAGUGAAUCUAAUACUCUUCCAAGUCCCAAGGAACCUGCUUUUGUUGUUAGGAGAUGCCCUUCAAGCAGAGCAUCUACUUCUAGUAAAUUGGAAACUUUUUCACGUAAUGAAUUGACAGUUACUAUAGAUGGCAGGUAGCUAAUUGUGUUUCACAUUAUUGCUCCAAUUAAGGAUGAAUAUUUUGUUUGUC